AUAAAUCUUGAUAAUAGUUUAAAAAAAAUAAUGAUAUUUUUGUUUUUUUACCAUUGUAAUCGUUUCAACAGUUUCUAUUAUCAACUAAGAUAAUAAAAAGAGGUUCUGUUAAUCAGUGUUAUCAAACAUAACAUCGCCGUGUUAUCUGUGUGUUCUAUCUUUGAUCAAAAGAACAAUUAACUUCAUCAACAAUGUUAAUAAUUAUUUUAUACUUUUGGUACAAUCAGUCAUGUUUGCGAAUCGGUGAUUAAACUGAAAUGUAAAGAUACCACAUGGACACUUAAACAUCUUUUAUAGUUGUUUAUCUAAUACUACGUUUUUGUUCAAUGUACAAAUACACAUACAUAUAAGAGAGUUUUAGUUUAAGAUUAGAUUAUUUCAUAUACAACAGGACUGCAUUAAAAGUUAGCCGUUCUUCUCCUUUUGUUUUUAUCACAGUCUUGUCCUUGUUUAGUUUAACGUAUGUUAUUACACAUAUAUUUAUUAUGAUGUCUAUUUAUAGUUGCAGGGUGUGCCUUGUAGUUUUCCAACAUUGCUGACAAACCGGUUCACACCGCAUUUCUUUAAGCCAAACCCCUCCUUGGAUUGUAUUAUUUUCAAUCCGUGGCGUCGUAUUUUAAUAUUUUAAAGGAUAAUCAGUUAUAAUUAGAUAAUAUAAUGAAUGAUAAAACAUAUUUUAAUGAUUUUUAUAUUUCGUUUAUACGUGAAUUGUAAAAGUAUACUGGUGAAACUUAAAUUAAGUCUGACUCAGAUAGAUUUUCCAACAUAAUUUGAUACAUGUUUUAACUGGUUGCCGAUAUACAUUGACUAAUAUUUAAGUUAAAUCUUUUCAGAUGGAAUCCGAUCGGGUCGUUGUGAUUUUUAUACAUAUUUCGGGAUGGUUCAUGUGUAUGACAUUGAUAAUUUUUACCAGUCCAUGUUGCUGGUUUAGAAAAUGUAGAACAACGACAAGUGUACAUGAAAUCAGAAUUACCAAAUAAUCUGGUAAUAAGUGAAAAACGUACAUUUAAAGUGCUGAAACAGCCACAGGAGUGUUCGUAUAGAGAGUUGAAAAAAUGUCAUAGCAACGAGAAUAUGCACGAGACUUAUUAUGAAGGAUGCUAUAGUGAUGUGUGCUCAUUAGAAAACUAUUUUUGUUUAAAUAUCCCCAAUGGAAAUUCAAUACAUUUGUGUGGACAAACUUACCCUUAGAGUAAACGAUACAGAAAUAUAGCGGUUCUUGAUUCAGCCGUAUCCGAGUAUGCUGAUGUGUAUAGAAUAGAAUGUCCAGUUGGCUACUUCCAGGAAAACAAAAGAAACGCCUUUACUCCCUGUGUGAAAGAUGAAUCCAUAACUGUCGUUAGGAAUUCCACAAAUCAAAUACCAGCUUUAUGGAGAUGCAAUUCGCAGAAAAAUUACUGCAAUACCCAUGGUGUCAUCUUUUUCACAUUGGGUUCUGUGUGGACGCAAAGUACCAUCUAAAGAUAAAAUGCAGUUCAACAGAGGAGUUGAUGCCAAACUGCAUCUGCGUUCCAAAGUGUCGAGCGGGUGAAGAAAGGGUUCGGGAAGGAACCAACAUAUGCAGAUUAAUAAGUGAAAGGUAAAUGCAUAGGUAACACAAAAUGUCUUUUAAGAAUCUUCUAAGAAUUAUAAAAUGGUGCAUUAUAUGAGAUGCACAGCCCGAAUUCGUUUCUUUGUAUGAGUCGAAAUACAUAUAAGAAAUUUUCCAGACAUACCGAGGAAUAAAAGAUUGCUUAUUCGAGAGGCGAACGUAGUGCAGGAGCAACACGAAGAUUCUUCUUACGUCGGGGCUAGGGAGCGUAAGGAGUGCACCUCUUAUGAACAGACUCGCUCAAACUGAGUCUGCUAUUAUUUGCUCGGUUAUGGUCUAUGCUUCCAAAAGGUCUUCUCGUGGAUUUCAGUUUUCACAGAAUCCAUUACUCGUUAUGAACCGGCAUGUGAGUAAUAACUGAUUAAGUGUUUAUUUUCGACCUUCUGGAGAUUCAUUUCAUAGAAGGAAUAGUUAAUAGUUUCGUUAGUUUUCCUUUGUACUGCAAUCUUACUAGGAUACGCGGAAGUUUGAUACUUUGUCAUUUUAGUAAAAUUUUCCAUACAGUUUUAGGACUUUAUUCUAUCGCAAAAGCUCAGUUUCUUUAGUAUUUCGUAUUUAUAAAUGAAUACAGAAUUCUUCUCCAUUAGUGAACAAAUAUCAUCAAAUUUUUAAAAACAUAAUGGAAUCUCCGCUAAAUGUCUUGUAAUUAAAAUAUAAUAAGACCAUGUAUGUCUCAAAUUUGAUGAAAACUACAUAAAUUUGCUUUAGAAAGAUUUUGGCUGGAUGAAAAAAUAAAAAUAAUACUCAAUGAAACUUUGCAAAAUGAAAUAAGUCAUGGUUUGGGUUGCGUGACAUUUAAGGCACAUACGUCUAUAUGCUUCCCACACGUAGUGCGCACAUAAAAUAAAUAGGAUAGGACAUAGUUUGCAUACUUCAGUAUACAAUGAAUGAACUUUUGGGUUUUAAAUUAUAGAACGCAUGUCAUGUUU